UGGGGAAUAUUGGACAAUGGGGGCAACCCUGAUCCAGCCAUGCCGCGUGAGUGAUGAAGGCCUUAGGGUUGUAAAACUCUUUCACCGGUGAAGAUAAUGACGGUAGCCGGAGAAGAAGCCCCGGCCAACUCCGUGCCAGCAGCCGCGGUAAUACAGAGGGGGCUAGCGUUGUUCGGAAUUACUGGGCGUAAAGCGCACGUAGGCGGGCUGGUCAGUUGGGGGUGAAAUCCCGGGGCUCAACCCCGGAACUGCCCUCAAUACUACCAGUCUUGAGUUCGAGAGAGGUAAGUGCAAUUCCUAGUGUAGAGGUGAAAUUCGUAGAUAUUAGGAAGAACACCGGUGGCGAAGGCGGCUUACUGGCUCGAUACUGACGCUGAGGUGCGAAAGCGUGGGGAGCAAACAGGAUUAGAUACCCGCGUAGUCC
rnacentral:rRNA from 1 species